GGGAGCGGGCCGAGCCUCUGGGACUCGGUCUGGGAAGGGGCGGCCGGGGUCGCCGAGCGGCGGGCCCGGUAGGAUUCCAAGUCCGUCCGUGUAAAGGCAGGGGACCGCGGUGGCACCCCGGAUAUGGGCCCGGCUUUAGCCAGGAACGAGGGAGCGCCACAACCCAUCUCUCAGAGCGAACCCGCUCAAGUUGAAAGGAUUAAUCACCGUGCAACUCAGCCGACUCACCCAAUGCAGCGUUCCUUGUCGGCGUACACAGGAGUCCCCCCUUAUCCAUGGCUUCGCAUUCCGGUGGUUUCAGUCACCUGUGUCAAUGGUGGUUCCAUCUGGAAGCGGAUGACCUUCCUUCCCACCUAGCCUCGGAUCAAGACUAGCCAGAUGCUGCAUCACCAUGCCUGUCAUUCACCUCACUUCGUCUCAUCACUAGGCAUUUUAGCAUCUCACAUCAUCACAACUAGGUCUUGGGAGACUUCAUGCUCCAUCUGGGUUGUGGAUAUAUAACGCUCUGUCGGAGUAAAGAGGCGACUGUACUUCCAGAAACCUUCCUUCAUCGCCAUGCCACCAUAUCGGUCCUCCUGGGAGAGGCCAGCAGCCCCAGAGCAUCUGAGAGAAGGAAACAGGGUUUUCCUUAGCCCUAGGAGCAUCUCUGGUCGGCCCUCAGCUGAGUUCCAGCAUCCUCUCCUCUCAGCUUCCCUAGGCUUUCCUGCUAGCUGCCAUCAGCUCCCUUGGCUCCUGUACACCCAGUGUCUAGUUCUCUCGAUUUGGAAACUGGAUUCUUUCCAUAAAAACCCUCCCUAGUUAAGAGGAAGUGUGUGCUGUAUGAGAGUGAUCCCAGGGGUGCCUGGGUGGCUCAGUCAGUUAAGCAUCUGACUCUUGAUCUCUGCUCGGGUCAUGAUCUCAAGGUUCAUGAGUUCGAGCCCUGUGUCAGCCUCUGUGCUGGCAGUGCGAGGCCUGCUCGGGAUGAUUUCUCUCCCUGCCUCUCUGCCCCUUCCCCACUCUCUCUCACACACACUCUCUCUCUUUCAAAAAUAAAUAAACUUUUUUUUAAAAAAAGAGUAAUUCCAGUACCUUUCUCAACUGUCAUACUGUUUCCUGCAAGUGCCCCGGUGUUGGUGCAAAAUGGAGAUGGAGUCCCAGAAGUUCAGACUUGGAGAGGACAGUGCUAGUUGCUCAUUCUAAGGGCUAUUUUGUUGUUAAAUGAGAGAAGGACCUACAGAGUGGCCCGCUAAUGAAAACCAACUAUAAAUGAGGAGCUGAAGUUGUAGUUCUAAAGGAGUAACUUGCAUAAGGCAAACCUAAGAUCCUGUCUUUAAAGGCAGCAUGGAAUUAUAAAAAUAAAGUAGAUUAGGGGAGGGAAUACCUGGUCCAGGUCCUACAUCUGACAUGUUCUAUCACAGAUAAGCCAUUGAGUGUCUCUGAAACCCAAUUUCCUUAUUUGUAAAAAGUGAAUAAAAAUGUCCCCUCACAAAGUUGGUGUGAGUCUCAAAUGAGAAAAUAAGUAUGAAAGUAAGUUUUAAAGUGUAAAAUGCUUUUCGUACACUAAUUCUUAAUUUCCUUUCUUUUAAAACUUGCUUUGAAAUCAUUUCAAAUGUAUAAAAGACUUGUAAGAUUUUUAUUAAUUCCUACAUAUGCUUCCCCUAGGUGAACCAAUUGUUAACAUUUUACCGUAUUUGGCAUAUCUUUCUCUCAUAGUCAGUAUUUUUGUGUGUAUGUGUGUGCGAUCUUUUUUCCUAAACCAUUUGAAACUGGCAGACAGGAAAACUCAUUUCCACUUAUUAUUACAGCAUGCAUUUACUGAAAGCAAGUACACUGUCCUACAAAACCACAGUCUAACUAUCAAA